rnacentral:rRNA from 1 species
AUUGAACGCUGGCGGCAGGCUUAACACAUGCAAGUCGAGCGGGGUGAUGGUGCUUGCACUAUCACUUAGCGGCGGACGGGUGAGUAAUGCUUAGGAAUCUGCCUAUUAGUGGGGGACAACAUCUCGAAAGGGAUGCUAAUACCGCAUACGUCCUACGGGAGAAAGCAGGGGAUCACUUGUGACCUUGCGCUAAUAGAUGAGCCUAAGUCGGAUUAGCUAGUUGGUGGGGUAAAGGCCUACCAAGGCGACGAUCUGUAGCGGGUCUGAGAGGAUGAUCCACCACACUGGGACUGGGACACGGCCCGGACUCCUACGGGAGGCAGCAGUGGGGAAUAUUGGCCAAUGGGGGGAACCCUGUUCCAGCCAUGCCGCGUGUGUGAAGAAGGCCUUAUGGUUGUAAAGCACUUUAAGCGAGGAGGAGGCUCUUUUGGUUAAUACCCAAGAUGAGUGGACGUUACUCGCAGAAUAAGCACCGGCUAACUCUGUGCCAGCCGCCGCCGUAA